rnacentral:rRNA from 1 species
UACGUAGGGUGCGAGCGUUGUCCGGAAUUAUUGGGCGUAAAGAGCUCGUAGGCGGUGUGUCGCGUCGGCCGUGAAAACCUGGGCUCAACCCCGGGCCUGCAGCCGAUACGGGCGAGCUAGAAUUCGGUAGGGGAGACUGGAAUUCCUGGUGUAGCGGUGAAAUGCGCAGAUAUCAGGAGGAACACCGGUGGCGAAGGCGGGUCUCUGGGCCGAUAUUGACGCUGAGGAGCGAAAGCGUGGGGAGCGAACAGG